GACGUAGGGUGCGAGCGUUGUCCGGAUUUAUUGGGCGUAAAGAGCGUGUAGGCGGCCAGGUAGGUCUGGUGUGAAAACUCGAGGCUUAACCUUGAGAUGUCAUCGGAAACCAUUUGGCUAGAGUCCGGAAGAGGAAAGUGGAAUUCCUGGUGUAGCGGUGAAAUGCGCAGAUAUCAGGAAGAACACCAAUGGCGAAAGCAGCUUUCUGGGACGGUACUGACGCUGAGACGCGAAAGCGUGGGGAGCGAACAGG
rnacentral:rRNA from 1 species